rnacentral:rRNA from 1 species
GGGAGGAGGCUUUUGGGUUGUAAACCUCUUUUGUCAGGGAAGAAAAUUUGACGGUACCUGAAGAAAAAGCAUCGGCUAACUCCGUGCCAGCAGCCGCGGUAAUACGGAGGAUGCAAGCGUUAUCCGGAAUAAUUGGGCGUAAAGGGUCCGCAGGUGGCCAUUCAAGUCUGCUGUCAAAGACCGUGGCUCAACCACGGAAAGGCAGUGGAAACUGUUUAGCUAGAGUACGGUAGGGGUAGAGGGAAUUUCCAGUGUAGCGGUGAAAUGCGUAGAUAUUGGGAAGAACACCGGUGGCGAAAGCGCUCUACUGGGCCGAAACUGACACUGAGGGACGAAAGCUAGGGUAGCGAAAGGGAUUAGAUACCCCUGUAGUCUUAGCUGUAAACGAUGGAUACUAGGUGUAGCUUGUAUCGACCCGAGCUGUGCCGAAGCUAACGCGUUAAGUAUCCCGCCUGGGGAGUACGCACGCAAGUGUGAAACUCAAAGGAAUUGACGGGGGCCCGCACAAGCGGUGGAGUAUGUGGUUUAAUUCGAUGCAACGCGAAGAACCUUACCAGGGCUUGACAUGUCGCGAAUCUGGGUGAAAGCCUGGAGUGCCUUAGGGAGCGCGAACACAGGUGGUGCAUGGCUGUCGUCAGCUCGUGUCGUGAGAUGUUGGGUUAAGUCCCGCAACGAGCGCAACCCUCGUUUUUAGUUGCCAUUUUAAUGGCUCUCUAGAGAGACUGCCGGGGACAACUCGGAGGAAGGUGGGGAUGACGUCAAGUCAGCAUGCCCCUUACGCCCUGGGCUACACACGUACUACAAUGGUUGGGACAAAGGGCAGCAAACCCGCGAGGGCAAGCGAAUCUCAUCAAACCCAGCCUCAGUUCAGAUUGCAGGCUGCAACUCGCCUGCAUGAAGGAGGAAUCGCUAGUAAUCGCAGGUCAGCAUACUGCGGUGAAUUCGU